UACAGAGGUCCCAAGCGUUGUUCGGAUUCACUGGGCGUAAAGGGUGCGUAGGUGGCAAGGUAAGUUUGAUGUGAAAUCUCCGGGCUUAACCCGGAAACUGCAUUGAAUACUAUCUCGCUCGAGAGUUGGAGGGAGACUGGAAUACUUGGUGUAGCAGUGAAAUGCGUAGAUAUCAAGUGGAACACCAGUGGCGAAGGCGAGUCUCUGGACAACUUCUGACACUGAGGCACGAAAGCUAGGGAGCAAACAGG
rnacentral:rRNA from 1 species